GAAUCUAUCCUACUCUCUUUUAGUUUUUUGCUUUUCUUUGGGCUCGUUCAAUCGUUUUCUCUCAACUUCUUUGAUUUUUUUUUUUUCAUUUAUAUUCCGAUCUGCACACAAUUUUUUUUUUCCUGUUCGCCGUGCGUCUCGACAUGGAAGGUUUUUCCAAAACGGCGUUGAGGUAUAAAGAUCACGGGAAAGCGGUGCUUCAGAUGCGUAGAAAAUUCAACGUGGUCCCAUGCAAACCCUGGACGUACUCUUAUCGAUUCUCACGCCUACCCUUCGUCCCUC
rnacentral:lncRNA from 1 species